rnacentral:rRNA from 1 species
UACAGAGGGCGCGAGCGUUGUCCGGAAUCACUGGGCGUAAAGGGCGCGUAGGUGGCUGGCAAAGCGUGCGGUGAAAGCCCGGGGCUCAACUCCGGAACUGCCUUUAAGACUGCAUCGCUAGAAUUGUGGAGAGGUAAGUGGAAUUCCGAGUGUAGAGGUGAAAUUCGUAGAUAUUCGGAAGAACACCAGUGGCGAAGGCGACUUACUGGACACAUAUUGACGCUGAGGUGCGAAAGCGUGGGGAGCAAACAGG